AUUUUUUUCUUGUAUAUAAACAAGAUGUGUAUCGUACACGAAUCAAAGUAAAAUCAGAGUAGGGAAAUUAUAGUUAAUUAAGGAAGUUCUUAUAAAGAAUACUAUUCCUUAAUAAGAAUAGCAGCUGCCUAUGAAGUGAAGCCAAUCACUCAAACUAAACACCUCCAGCUUCAGCACAAUCUCCACCUUGGCACAGGCCUUGACGUGGAACUCCUUGUCUAGUACCUCGAGAAUGUAAAUCUACAAGGAUUCAAUAGUGUUAUGAGCACAUUUAUUGGACUCUCUCUCUCCAAGACGCCCCACAUAGUGUAGUCCAAGGGGUUCCGAUCCGGCGAGCUCCUUUAUCUUUUGCUUAAUUAAGUCUGAAGUACGUUUAUUUUCUCUCAAAACAAUCAUGAGUCUUCCUUGCAGGUGGUCCGGACUCAUCAAACUCCUUGAAUGAUUUGGAUCGCAAACAAUUGAUUUGAGCAGACUCGAUAUGUCAAGCCCAGGUCUAAGGCACACAACAAUAGCCUAACUGCAUUCAUAAUCGUGAAGGAUUUUGUAUUUUAUUUUAUAUAUUUUGGUCAGUUGAAUCUGAUGAAGACACUUUUAUUUACAUAGAUCUGAGGAUUGCCCAGAUAUUGAGGUCAACAUAAACUUGUUCUGGAUUUUAAAUUCCUACCCUGUAUGUGUAUUUUACAAUGCAUUUUAAACUAAAUUUACGACCCUGAUAAAGGAAUAAUUCUUCUAUAGAACAGCUGUCCCUAGCCUUUUUAAACCAUUACUCAAUUUGAUUCCAAUGGAACCAUUCCUUCUAAUCCCUCACCCCAUUAGUGAUCCUAAACUGUUAUAAUUUUUGUAAAACAUAACUUUUGAUCUGGACCGAUCCCAUAGGAUAAUUCGGUCUAGAUUGGUCCUACUAAAUAUUUUUCUCAUUUGAAAAUCGGUAGGUGUCAGGAAUCAUCACCAGAAUGCAUUUGCAAGUGGGGGGGGGGAUUAUAUAAUGUCGGUGUCAUUAGGGGGCUUACACAUAAUUUUAUUUGGUGGAAGGGGCAGAGCCGUGACUAUAAUUUUUGGAGGCGUUUGGCUCUUUUGACAAAUUUUAUUAAUGCCAAAUUUGACAUAUAACUUUUUUUUUUUAAUUUGUAGUUAAAAUUUUUGGAAAAGAGGAGGGCAAGAUGAACAAGUUUUCUCACCCGAAUAUCGAUGCCCUGAAGUGCGUGAUCACGUAGAAGUGGAACUCGAACUUCAUCAAGAACAGCAGUGCUUGAGUUAUUCCCCGUAUUGAAGCGAUCAUUCAGAAUGGAGGGAGAAAUAUUGAAUAAAAAGUGUGGAAAAUUGUGGAAUUACAAACUUUUGCUUCAAAAGUUUGCCAUAAAAAUGGCACAAAAUAAAAAUAUAGAGACGUGAAAACGGCUUUUAAAAUUUUUGAGUCCUACCUCUGUUGAACAAAUUACAAAAUCUGUCUUUGCUUCCUAUAUAUGCCGAACUGAAAAUAUAAAUACCUUUCUUGUUUCAA
rnacentral:lncRNA from 1 species